rnacentral:tRNA from 1 species
AGGAUUAUAGUUUAAUAAAAACAUUUAAUUUGCAAUUAAAAAAUAUUGAAUACAAUUUAUCUUA